UUUCUUCUUUUUAUGUGCUGUUGUAAACAAUCUUUCAGGGUGCUGAGGGAUUGCCUUGCUAAUCCUGAAUCUGUUGAAAGGAAAAAGGAAGCAAAAGAAAAGUUGAAUGCAGCAAAAGCUAACGAGCAAAAAUUAUAUCAGAAGUUAGAAGAUGAGUUCUCCAAAGCUCAAGCAGAGAAUAAUGGGGUUGAGUUGGCAAUUAAACAACGGCUUGCAAUUGUAUCACAAAUGGAAGCUGAAUCUGAACUAGUCUUUGCCGGAAUGCAAAACGCGUUAAAAAUGCAAAAUAUAAUUCUGAAUUCAUGUGAUUGAUUGUUUAUAACAAUGGUUUAGGGGCUUAUUUUUUAUAAUUGCUUUCGCAGAAAUUAAAGAAUAUGAUGAUGUUCUUAGAACCAGCCCGGUCGAAUUGGAUGACAAUGGUCUUACUCUCUGGAAACUGAAGUCGUACAACAAAGAACCAAACAUUUUACUUCAAGAUUUAGGAAGCUGGAGUGACGUAUGUCCUCAUGAAAGGUGGUUUGCGUUUAGCCCUGAGCAAAAACCACAAGUAGAGAAGUAUAUUGCUUGCAAAAAGAAAGAAAGGCUUAUCAAAAAUUGGAAGGGAAAUACUGCUCUUGAGUCUUAGUGAUAAUUUGUCUUGUUCUGCAAGCACAUAAUAUAAAAAUGAUUAUGAUAAGCAGAAGUAAAAAGGCUGACUCAUUUGGAUAUGAUUUAUUGUUUUAUUUACAUUUCUGAACACCCAAAAAACUCGGUUUCGUAAUUUCUUUUUAUCUUAAAAAACAUUCAGACUUUUUUUCAUAUGAGACUAUUGGACGUGAGACAAUUGGUCGUUGGGAAUUGUUGUAAUAUUUAUAUUCUGUAACAUUUCUGAAUGUCCGAAAGUGAAUAGAUUCUAUAAUACUUACAUUAGUAAUUUUGGAUUAGUAUCAUUUAAUUUUUUUUGGGUUCGUGUUAUGGAAAUUGAAACAUGCUUGUUGUUGGGAAAAAUAUGAAUUUACCAUGGCGCACCAGAAUAAAUAUUUCCUGCACUUGUAUGAAUUUUUAAGAAAAAUACUUAAACAAUGGCAGAAUAUAAUAUAAGUAAAGGAGACUAAAUUUAUUUAUGUGGAGAACUGACGCAGCGUAAGGAUAGGGAUUGAGGGAUUGAACGAUCAAUCUCGCAAAUAGGGUUUGCUAGAGACAAUUCUUUGCUCAAUCAAGAGAUUCUUUUGAAUGUCUUGAGACCAACUUCUUAUGAUGACGAAUUGAAUCGAGUCAAGACAAGGAUUAAAAGCAAAACCUCUCUAGUUUAUUAAAAUCAAAAGUGUCCCCAAACAUAACUUA